rnacentral:sRNA from 1 species
GUAGUUGUCUCCUCUUGCAUA